rnacentral:rRNA from 1 species
CCUACGGGAGGCAGCAGUGGGGAAUAUUGCACAAUGGGGGAAACCCUGAUGCAGCGAAGCCGCGUGAGUGAAGAAGUCUUUCGGGAUGUAAAGCUCCAUCAGUAGGGAAGAAAAUGACGGUACCUGAUUAAGAAUCUCCGGCUAAAUACGUUCAAGCAGCGCCGGUAAUACGUAGGGGGCAAGCGUUAUCCGGAUUUACUGGGGGUAAAGGGAGUGUAGACGGCAGCACAAGUAUGGAGUGAAAUGCCGGGGGUUAACCCCGGAACUGCUUUGGAAACUGUGCAGCUAGAGUGCAGGAGGGGUAAAUGGAAUUCGUGGUGUAGCGGUGAAAUGCGUAGAUAUUAGGAAGAACACCAGUGGCGAAGGCAGCUUACUGGACUGUGACUGACGUUGAGGCUCGAAAGCGUGGGGAGCAAACAGGAUUAGAUACCCCUGUAGUC